rnacentral:lncRNA from 1 species
GAACAAAUGUUAAUUAUUGUGCAUGAAAAAUAAGACAUCCCCUGAAAAUAAGCCCUAGCGUAUCUUUUGCAGCAAAAAGUAAUAUAAGACCGGGUCUUAUUUUCAGGGAAACACAUUAGAUGCAAAAUGAUAGAUCAUGUUCUACUUCUUAUAGCUGUGGCCAUACUAUGCAAUUUUUCACUGUGAGUGUAACUGCCACAGCAAGGCUCUUUCACUAAACUGAUAAACACUUUUUGUAUAGCAUAUGAGUGUAACUACAAUUUGAAAACAAGUAAAUCUUGAUACAAUAUAGCAAAAUGAUAAUAGCUUGAAAUUCACAGAAUC